rnacentral:tRNA from 1 species
GAGGGUGUAGCUCAGGGUUAGAGCGCAUGCCUAGCAUGCACGAGGUCUGGGGUUCAAUCCCCAGCAUCUCUG